UCUACUGUGUCCGCACUGCAAUUAUGUCUCUCCAGUCUCCAUUUUGUGCAGGGAGUGUUCAUGCUGGUUCCGGUCAACUUUGUCAGCCAAGGCUGGGCUUCCGCCCAACGAUUCUAUGGUGUUCAGUGUAAUUUAUCAUGCCUCUCCGGUAUCCAUUUUGCGCUGGGACUGUUCAUGGCUCCAUGCUGUUUCCAGUCAACUCGUUCAGGCAAUCUUGGAGGCUGGGCUGAUGUAUUGAAUUGGGGAUUUCUUGCGUGACAAUUCCUUAUGGUUGCCGGCCAGGCCAGAUACAACCUUCAAGCUUAUUACAUGACCUCCAUCUGCAUCAUUUACAGAUUGUUUGCUUUGGUAAGGUCUUUGUACUACUUACGGCUAAAUAUCUCUUGGUUUUGUUUUCUACUAUAUAUAGUGCUAUCAUCAACAGUUCAAUGUCUUGUGAACCAAAGCCAAUAGCAGUUAAAGGUUCAUCUGGCAGCCAUCGUUCUUGCCUAGUGCUAGGAACGGUUGCACUCCCUGCUGGGGGUUGAUGGCGCGUCAACCAUUGUGCAACACAGAGUUCAAGUGAGGAGGGGGAGGAGCUACGGCUACGGCCUGAUGUACAAGCACAAGAACCGGCAUAGAUCGGUGUUCAUUCUCCAGACUGGGUCAGCUGAAUGUGUCGAAGAGAACAUUCCAGUGGAAAACAAUCCUUCCCUACUGGAUUAUGUGUGUUCCAUUCAUCACUUUACAGAUCAGAUGUUAAUGGGCCUUUUAUUUUUCAAAAAGGGGUAAAUGGCUAAGUUCUGAUAAUUUCCUAGGAGUAAGGAGACAUGCAAAUGACGCAGAUUGUGUACUGCAAGGUUUGCUUCUUUUUUUGGUUAUACGUCUGCAGCAGUUAGAUAUUAGUUCUUGUGCACAUGAUGUUUGUCGAUUUAAGGAAUUCUACUUUAGAUUUAAAUCUAUAGCCCUGAAUCCUAUUCAAAUAGGACAUUAUGUGAGGAUCUGACAAUUAAAGGACAUGAAGUUUGGGUAUACAUUCAAAUCUUGAUUUCUCGUGCGCGUGUGUGUGGGUGGGGGUGGGGUCUUGUUACUAUAUGUCCUAUGAACAAGGCCUUUGUCGGUUCCAACCAGCUAAUAUAUCUUGGACACUAUGUAUGACCUCACUGUCCUCGGCUUUCUACAAUACUUCUCACGAUAGUCACCAGUCGCUCAGUGAGGAAUGAGGACCUUGAAAGAUGACAUGUGUUUAUGCUUUCAGCAUCCAAGGAGGCUGCUAAUGAACUGCCAAACAGAUGUUGAUGCAGUAAAAUCAUGAGCAAAGUCUCCACAUGUGGUGGCCAAGGAAAUACGAGCUUCCAUAACAAUCAGCUAGGGACAAUUACAUAGGACAAAUCAAGAUUGCACAAGGUGACGUAUGUGUUUAUGCUUUCACCAUCCAAGGAGACUGUUCAUUACUUAUCAUGCAUUGUCUAUAGAGUUACCUGCUUACCUUCGAGUAUGGUUAAGGUGCAGCUAAGCCUUCUAGCCAAUGCAUGAUAAUCUCAAGAUUAUGCCAGUAACCUGCGGUAGACAUAUGUACACUGGUACACUUUUUAUCAUAUUAUCCUCCAGAGUAAGGAGUCCUCC